CCCUUAGAUGUUCGGAGCUGCACGCGCGCUACAAUGAUGAAUUCAACGAGUUUAUAACCUUGGUUGAAAAGCCUGGGUAAUCUUUUGAACUUUCGUCGUGAUGGGGCUAGACCCUUGCAAUUAUUGGUCUCCAACGAGGAAUUCCUAGUAAACGCAAGUCAUCAGCUUGCAUUGAUUACGUCCCUGCCCUUUGUACACACCGCCCGUCGCACCUACCGAUUGAAUGGUCCGGUGAAAUCUUCGGAUUGAGACUUUGAUUUCUUCACGGAAAACGCUGUUUUAAAAAGUUGAUUAAACCUUACCAUUUAGAGGAAGGUGAAGUCGUAACA
rnacentral:rRNA from 1 species